CCUUGUACACACCGCCCGUCACACCACGAGAGUUUGUAACACCCGAAGUCAGUGGAGUAACCGUAAGGAGCUAGCCGCCUAAGGUGGGACAGAUGAUUGGGGUG
rnacentral:rRNA from 1 species